rnacentral:rRNA from 1 species
UACGUAGGGCGCAAGCGUUGUCCGGAAUUAUUGGGCGUAAAGAGCUCGUAGGCGGCCUGUUACGUCUGCUGUGAAAGCCCGGGGCUUAACUCCGGGUCUGCAUUCGAUACGGGUCUGCUGGGGUCCGGCAGGGGAGACUGGAAUUCCUGGUGUAGCGGUGAAAUGCGCAGAUAUCAGGAGGAACACCGGUGGCGAAGGCGGGUCUCUGGGCCGGUACCGACGCUGAGGAGCGAAAGCGUGGGGAGCGAACAGG